GACAGAGGUGCCGAGCGUUAGGCGGAAUCACUGGGCUUAAAGCGUGUGUAGGCGGACUCGUAAGUGCUUUGUGAAAUCCCACGGCUCACCCGUGGAACUGCUUGGCAUACUGCGAGCCUUGAGCCACUUAGGGGCAACCGGAACAAACGGUGGAGCGGUGAAAUGCGUAGAUAUCGUUUGGAACGCCAAUGGUGAAAACAGGUUGCUGGGAGUGCGCUGACGCUGAGACGCGAAAGCGUGGGGAGCGAACAGG
rnacentral:rRNA from 1 species